rnacentral:rRNA from 1 species
UUUCCCUACGGGAGGCAGCAGUGGGGAAUAUUGCACAAUGGGGGAAACCCUGAUGCAGCGACGCCGCGUGAGUGAAGAAGUAUUUCGGUAUGUAAAGCUCUAUCAGCAGGAACGAGACAAGACGGUACCUGACUAAGAAGCCCCGGCUAACUACGUGCCAGCAGCCGCGGUAAUACGUAGGGGACAAGCGUUAUCCGGAAUCACUGGGUGUAAAGGGAGCGUAGACGGCUGUGCAAGCCUGAAGUGAAAGUCGGGGGCCCAACCCCUGGACUGCUUUGGGGACUGUACG